UUCCCUAUGGCUUAGCUGGUAAAGAAUCCACCUGCAAUGUGGGAGACCUGGGUUCAAUCCCUGGGUUGGAAA
rnacentral:tRNA from 1 species